CCUACGGGGUGCAGCAGUGAGGAAUAUUGGUCAAUGGACGUGAGCCUGAACCAGCCAAGUCGCGUGAAGGAUGACGGUUCUAUGGAUCGUAAACCUCUUUUAUAAGGGAAUAAAGUGUGGGACGUGUCCUAUUUUGUAUGUACCUUAUGAAUAAGGAUCGGCUAACUCCGUGCCAGCAGCCGCGGUAAUACGGAGGAUCCGAGCGUUAUCCGGAUUUAUUGGGUUUAAAGGGUGCGUAGGCGGCUUUUUAAGUCAGCGGUGAAAGUCUGUGGCUCAACCAUAGAAUUGCCGUUGAAACUGGCGGGCUUGAGUAGAUUAGAGGCAGGCGGAAUGCGUGGUGUAGCGGUGAAAUGCUUAGAUAUCACGAAGAACCCCGAUUGCGAAGGCAGCCUGCUAGGCCACGACUGACGCUGAUGCACGAAAGCGUGGGGAUCAAACAGGAUUAGAUACCCGUGUAGUC
rnacentral:rRNA from 1 species